rnacentral:rRNA from 1 species
GACGUAGGGGGCCAGCGUUGUUCGGAAUUACUGGGUGUAAAGGGUUCGUAGGCGGUGCGGCAAGUUGGGAGUGAAAUCUCUGGGCUUAACCCAGAGGCUGCUUCCGAAACUGCUGUGCUUGAGUGUGGGAGAGGCGCGUGGAAUUGCAGGUGUAGCGGUGAAAUGCGUAGAUAUCAGGAAGAACACCCGUGGCGAAGGCGGCUCUCUGGGACGGUACUGACGCUGAGACGCGAAAGCGUGGGGAGCGAACAGG